GAUGAACGCUGGCGGCGUGCCUAAUACAUGCAAGUCGAGCGAACAGACGAGGAGCUUGCUCCUCUUACGUUAGCGGCGGACGGGUGAGUAACACGUGGAUAACCUACCUAUAAGACUGGGAUAACUUCGGGAAACCGGAGCUAAUACCGGAUAAUAUAUUGAACCGCAUGGUUCAAUAGUUAAAGACGGUUUUGCUGUCACUUAUAGAUGGAUCCGCGCCGCAUUAGCUAGUUGGUAAGGUAACGGCUUACCAAGGCAACGAUGCGUAGCCGACCUGAGAGGGUGAUCGGCCACACUGGAACUGAGACACGGUCCAGACUCCUACGGGAGGCAGCAGUAGGGAAUCUUCCGCAAUGGGCGAAAGCCUGACGGAGCAACGCCGCGUGAGUGAUGAAGGUCUUCGGAUCGUAAAACUCUGUUAUUAGGGAAGAACAAAUGUGUAAGUAACUAUGCACGUCUUGACGGUACCUAAUCAGAAAGCCACGGCUAACUCCGUG
rnacentral:rRNA from 1 species